UGCCUAAACCCCUUGGAAAUCCCCAAGAGGCAUGGCGCGAAAAACUCGUUGAAACCACUGAACCCUGCGUUCAGCUACUUCAACGAGUCAUAUCCCGAAAGGGGUAUGGGCAAACC
rnacentral:sRNA from 1 species